ACUGAAUUUAAACCAUUCUAUGAAUACGAUUGGAGGGCAAGUCUGGUGCCAGCAGCCGCGGUAACUCCAGCUCCAAUAGUGUAUCUUAACGUUGUUGCAGUUAAAAAGCUCGUAGUUGAAUUUCUGUCUAGCUGACUUCUACUUGUAGAAGUCUGGCUAGGCAUCCGCGCUAGAAACUAUCCCGGUAUUUAUUUACCAGUUAGUGAACGGCGCAUUUUACUUUGAAGAAAUUAGAGUGUUCCAAGCAAGCUUUGCAUGAAUAUUACAGCAUGGAAUAAUGGAAUAGGACAAGGUCAAUUUUAUUGGUUAUUCGACUUUGUAAUGAUUAACAGGGACAGUUGGGGGCAUUCGUAUUCAGUUGUCAGAGGUGAAAUUCGUAGAUUAACUGAAGACGAACUAAUGCGAAAGCAUUUGCCAAGGAUGUUUUCAUUAAUCAAGAACGAAAGUUAGGGGAUCGAAGACGAUUAGAUACCGUCGUAGUCCUAACUAUAAACUAUACCGACUAGGGAUUGGCACAGGUUUAUCCUGUGUCAGCACCUAAUGAGAAAUCAAAGUCUUUAGGUUCUGGGGGGAGUAUGUUCGCAAGAAUGAAACUUAAAGGAAUUGACGGAAGGGCACCACCAGGAGUGGAGCCUGCGGCUCAAUUUGACUCAACACGGGGAAACUUACCAGGGCAAGACCUGAGAAUGAUUGACAAUUUGAAAGCUUUUUCUUGAUUACAGGGAUGGUGGUGCAUGGCCGUUCUUAGUUGGUGAAGUGAUUUGUCCGGUUAAUUCCUUUAACAAACGAGACCUUAACCUGCUAAACUAGAAGCACUUAUUUUUAGGUGUUAUCUUCUUAGAGGGACUAUGGUUAAAACACCAUGGAAGUUUGAGGCAAUAACAGGUCCGUGAUGCCCUUAGACGUUCUGGGCCGCACGUGUGCUACACUGACUCACGCAACAAGUUUUUUACCUAACCCGAAAGGGGACGGGAAAUCUUUUUAAUAUGAGUCGUGCUAGGGAUUGAUCUUUGCAAUUUUGGAUCAUGAACGAGGAAUUCCUAGUAGGCAUAAGUCAUCAUCUUGUGCCGAUUACGUCCCUGCCCUUUGUACACACCGCCCGUCGCUCCUACCGAUUGAAUGAUCCGGUGAACUUUCUGGACAUUUGGCUUCUGCUAAAAUGGAAGUUAAGCAAACCUUAUCAUUUAGAGGAAGGAAAAGUCGUAACAAGGUUUCCGUAGGUGAACCUGCGGAAG
rnacentral:rRNA from 1 species